rnacentral:rRNA from 1 species
CCUACGGGAGGCAGCAGUGGGGGAUAUUGCACAAUGGGGGAAACCCUGAUGCAGCGACGCCGCGAGAGUGAAGAAGUAUUUCGGUAUGUACAGCUCUAUCAGCAGGGAAGAAAAUGACAGUACCUGACCAAGAAGCCCCGGCUAACUACGUGCCAGCAGCCGCGGUAAUACGUAGGGGGCAAGCGGUAUCCGGAUUUACUGGGGGUAAGGGGAGCGUAGACGGUGAUGUAAGUCUGGAGUGAAAGGCCGGGGCCGAACCCCGGGACUGCGUGGGAAACUGUGUAACUGGAGUACAGGAGGGGCAGGCGGAAUUCCUGGUGUAGCGGUGAAAUGCGUAGAUAUCAGGAGGAAGACCGGCGGCGAAGGCGGCCUGCUGGACUGAAACUGACGUGGAGGCUCGAAAGCGUGGGGAGCAAGCAGGAGUAGAUACCCCAGUAGUC